rnacentral:rRNA from 1 species
ACGACUCUCAGCAACGGAUAUCUUGGCUCUUGCAACGAUGAAGAACGCAGAAAAAUGCGAUACCUAGUGUGAAUUGCAGAAUUCCACGAAUCAUCGAGUCUUUGAACGCAAGUUGCGCCCGAGGCUUGUCCUGAGGGCAUGCCUGCCUGAGCGUCACC